GACGAACGCUGGCGGCGUGCUUAACACAUGCAAGUCGAACGGAAAGGCCCUGCUUUUGUGGGGUGCUCGAGUGGCGAACGGGUGAGUAACACGUGAGUAACCUGCCCUUGACUUUGGGAUAACUUCAGGAAACUGGGCUAAUACCGGAUAGGAGCUCCUGCUGCAUGGUGGGGGUUGGGAAGUUUUGGGGGUUGGGGGUGGACUCGCGGCUUAUCCGGUUGUUGGGGGGGGUGUGGCUUACCCAGGCUUUGACGGGUAGCCGGCCGGGGAGGGUGACCGGCCAAAGUGGGAAUGAGAUACGGCCCAGACGCCUACGGGGGGCAGCAGUGGGGAAUAUUGCACAAUGGGGGGAGGCCUGAUGCAGCAACGCCGCGUGGGGAAAGACGGCUUUCGGGUUGUAAACCGCUUUCGCCUGUGACGAAGCGUGAGGGACGGUAAUGGGUAAAGAAGCACCGGCUAACUACGU
rnacentral:rRNA from 1 species